AACGAACGCUGGCGGCAGGCUUAACACAUGCAAGUCGAGCGCCUCGCCAGAUUCGCGGCUGACGGGUGUGUAUCGCGUGGGAACGUACCCUUAUCUUCUGAAUAGCUCUGGGACACUUUAUGUAAUACCGCAUGUGCCCUUAGGGGGUAAGAUUUAUCGGAUAAGGAUCGGCCGGCGUUUGUUUAGCUAGUUGGUGGGGUAAAGGCCUACCAAGGCGACGCUCCAUAGCUGGUCUGAGAGGAGGAUCAGCCACAUUGGGACUGAGAUACGGCCCAAACUCAUACGGGAGGAAGGAGUGGAGAAUAAUGGACAAUGGGCGCGAGACGGAUCCAGGCAUGCGGGGUGAGAGAUGAAGGCGUUAGGGUUGUAAAGCUGUUUCGCCGGAGAAGAGAAUGACGGUAGCCGGAGAAGAAGCGCCGGCUAACUUCGUG
rnacentral:rRNA from 1 species